GCUCUUGAUGGAUUGGCUAUAAACAUAAGAAGUAAAAAUGUUGGUGAAAUACGAAAAAGUUCAUGUUGUUUCUAGCCUACCACACAGAAUUUGUGAUAUGAACGAGAGAAGGAUGUUAUGAACUCGGGCAAUGAAUUUAUCAGUACUUUGACUCAGAUUUGCCCAUCAACUCUAAUCAGACAUACAUUUCAGAUGUGAUAAGAAUCAUAAGACGAGCUGCAGGUUUAUUGGAUAGCUACUUAACUGAGAAGAUGUGUAGCUAUACCUCGCAGUCUCUUCAGUGCAUGGAGAGGAGUGAGAUGCAAUAGUGGUGGUGAUGGAAUUCAGAUCGGG